UACGUAGGGCGCAAGCGUUGUCCGGAAUUAUUGGGCGUAAAGAGCUCGUAGGCGGCCAGUUGCGUCUGCUGUGAAAUCCCGGGGCUCAACCCCGGGCGUGCAGUGGAUACGGGCUGGCUAGAGGCAGGCAGGGGAGAACGGAAUUCCCGGUGUAGCGGUGAAAUGCGCAGAUAUCGGGAGGAACACCGGUGGCGAAGGCAGGUCUCUGGGCCAUUACUGACACUGAGAAGCGAAAGCAUGGGGAGCGAACAGG
rnacentral:rRNA from 1 species